GAUGUCAAAUCAUCAUGCCCCUUACGCCUUGGGCUUCACACGUGCUACAAUGGUCUUUACAAAGUGAAGCAAUACUGCGAAGUGGAGCGAACCACAAAAAAGACCCCAGUUCGGAUUGUAGGCUGCAACUCGCCUGCAUGAAGUUGGAAUCGCUAGUAAUCGCGGAUCAGCAUGCCGCGGUGAAUACGUUCCCGGGCCUU
rnacentral:rRNA from 1 species